UGCAUUAAGUGAUCAGAAAAGUCACUGGCUGGCUCUGUUCAUGAGCAGAAUGCUUUCAGAAAAGUUUAUGCUCACACAGUGCUUGGACAGCAUUUGCGUAGUUUGGCACUUACUUGUCUGCUUGGGCAGAUGCUCAUAUGCUUACACAGAAUGGAUAUUGUGAUGGUGGAAAGUCAGUUGAUGCUACAAAUACAAAUUACAGAAUCAUGAGUUACUUUUAACAAGCAGAGGUGAAGGAUCUCCUUCUGCAAGUUGGCUGGUGCUUGAGGUAUAUUCAUUCAAUGUCUUUGAUUCACAUGGACAUGAAACCGGUAAUAUUUCCAUGUCUCAAACCUCAAUCCCCAAUGCAGCCUCUGAAGAAGGGGAUGAACAUCCAACAAAGUUAUACUUAAAAUAGGUAAUCCUGGGCAUGUAACAAGGAUCUCUAGUCCACAGAUUUAACAGGAUGAUAGUCCUUUUUUUGGAAAUGAAGUUUUACAGAAGAACUAUAUCAUCUACUAAAAGCAGGUAUUUUGUACUUGCCCUCACAGUGGUAUGUGCUGCUGGUGCUGAAUCUCUUCCCAGGAAUGGAGACCAGUGGCAUGGAAUCAGGUAGAAAAGAUUACCUCAGAUACCACAUAGGCUUUUCCAAGAAUUUACAGAGUUGCCCAAAUUUAUGAUUCAUCCAGAUCCAGAGAGAAACCUUCAGCAAUUGCCCUGAUAAAGCAUUCAAUGUUGCUGCUUGCUUCUAGAGAGAGGAGAACAGUUAUGUAUAGAACUGAAUGUUGAGAAGUCCGAAAAUACACUUUUACCUAAAUAAAUCAUGAAAGCACAGAUAUCGAAGGCUGCAGCUGAGGAAGGAGCACUUUUCACUGAUCAGAGGCCAGUAGGUCCACCACCCAGAGGAACACAACAUCUUGACUUAUUAGAAAGAAAAUUAAGUGCUCUAUCAGCCUUCCAGUAUACUAAGC
rnacentral:lncRNA from 1 species